rnacentral:rRNA from 1 species
GCUGGUGAUUGUAGCGGGGGGGAAACACCUUUUCCCAUUCCGAACAGAGAAGUUAAGACCCUCAGCGCUGACGAUAGUGUCCGCUUGUCGGGUGCGAAAAUAGGUCAUCGCCAGCA